UACGAAGGGGGCUAGCGUUGUUCGGAAUUACUGGGCGUAAAGCGCGCGCAGGCGGCUAUCCAAGUCAGUGGUGAAAGCCCGGAGCUCAACUCCGGAACUGCCAUUGAAACUGUUUAGCUUGAGGAUGAGAGAGGUGAGUGGAAUUCCCAGUGUAGAGGUGAAAUUCGUAGAUAUUGGGAAGAACACCGGUGGCGAAGGCGGCUCACUGGCUCAUUACUGACGCUCAGGCGCGAUGAGCGUGGGGAUCAAACAGG
rnacentral:rRNA from 1 species